rnacentral:rRNA from 1 species
GACGUAGUGCGCAAGCGUUGUCCGGAUUUAUUGGGCGUAAAGAGCUCGUAGGCGGCUUGUUGCGUCGUCCGUGAAAACCUGUGGCUCAACUACAGGCUUGCGGUCGAUACGGGCGGGCUGGAGUUCGGUAGGGGAGACUGGAAUUCCUGGUGUAGCGGUGAAAUGCGCAGAUAUCAGGAGGAACACCGGUGGCGAAGGCGGGUCUCUGGGCCGAUACUGACGCUGAGGAGCGAAAGCGUGGGGAGCGAACAGG